CGCGGGGUAGAGCAGCUUGGUAGCUCGUCAGGCUCAUAACCUGAAGGUCAUUGGUUCGAAUCCAGUCCCCGCACCCA
rnacentral:tRNA from 1 species